CAACGGACGUACAUAACUUCUUUGCUAGGACAGGGUGCCCUGACGAAUGUGAUUUCCGUGGCAGACGGAUCCUCCAUGUGUACAUAUUGCACGUCCUCCUCGUCGUCGAUCCUUAUUUCCACGGACUUAACCCCUCUGUGCAGUUCCUGGCAGCGUCGCGUUUAAGUUCGCGGUGCAAAGCUUUCCAACGGUACCUUUCUCAUUGAACACCACGAAACCUUCGCUAUUGUACUUCACAGCGUGCGGAGUGUCCGAUGGUUGAGAUUUCAUGGACCGAAGGCUUGGAGCCAACGACACUGAACAAUGUAAAAGAAAUAUCAAAUAAAUCGCCAAUAACUGCGGUUACAUUCAUCAUUGUGUGGGACAGCUAUGCAAAAAUCAAGUUUAACCAGCCCUCGGGCAUACUUACGGCAAUCCUUUUCGUCGCUGCCGUUCGUACAGUCCAUUUU